UACGUACUGCGCGAACGUUGUUCGGAAUCACUGGGCAUAAAGGGUGCGUAGGCGGCUUUGCAGGCCCGAUGUGAAAUCCCCCGGCCUAACCGGGGAAUGGCAUCGGGAACCGUGAGGCUCGAGCGGUUCAGGGGUGCAUGGAACUUCCGGUGGAGCGGUGAAAUGUGUUGAGAUCGGAAGGAACGCCGUUGGCGAAAGCGGUGCACUGGGGACAGGCUGACGCUGAGGCACGAAAGCCAGGGGAGCGAACGGG
rnacentral:misc_RNA from 1 species